rnacentral:rRNA from 1 species
GGGGGGGGGGGGGGGGGGGGGGAGGGGGUGCGGGGCGGGGGCUGGGGCGGGGCUUGUGUGGGGUGGAUGAGUGGCGAGCGGGUGAGUAACACGUGAGUAACCUGCGCCCUGCUUUGGGAUAACGCCCGGAGACGGGUGCUAAUACUGGAUAUUCACUGGUCUUCGCAUGGGGGCUGGGGGGAAGGGGUUUUCUGGUGUGGGAUGGGCUCGCGGCCUAUCAGCUUGUUGGUGGGGUGAUGGCCGACCAAGGCUUUGACGGGUAGGCGGCCUGAGAGGGUGACCGGUCACAUUGGGACUGAGAUACGGCCCAGACUCCUACGGGAGGCAGCAGUGGGGAAUAUUGCGCAAUGGGAGCAAGCCUGAUGCAGCGACGCCGCGUGAGGGAUGGAGGCCUUCGGGUUGUGAACCUCUUUCGCUCAUGGUCAAGCCGCAACAAUGGUUGUGGUGAGGGUAGUGGGUAAAGAAGCGCCGGCUAACUACGUG